GCCAGGCGCUGUGGCGGGCACCUGUAGUCCCAGCUACUUGGGAGGCUGAGGCAGGAGACUCGCUUGAGCACAGGAGUUGGAGGCUGCUGUGAGCGUGAAGCCAUGGCACUCUACCCAGGGGGAUAGCUUGAGGCUCCGUCUCAAAAAAAAAAAAAAAAAAAAGAAGUGGAAGUGCUGGGCCAUGUGGUGAUUCUAUGCUUAAUUUUUUGAGCCAUACUAUUUUCUUUUUUUUUUUUUUUUGAGACGGAGCCUCAAGCUAUCCCCCUGGGUAGCGUGCCAUGGCAUCACAGCUCACAGCAACCUCCAACUCCUGGGCUCAAGCGAGUCUCCUGCCUCAG
rnacentral:SRP_RNA from 1 species